AUUGAACGCUGGCGGCAUGCCUUACACAUGCAAGACGAACGGCAGCGGGGACUUCGGUCCGCCGGCGAGUGGCGAACGGGUGAGUAAUGUAUCGGAACGUACCAUUCAGUGGGGGAUAACUAUCCGAAAGGAUAGCUAAUACCGCAUAUUCUGUGAGCAGGAAACCAGGGGAUCGCAAGACCUUGCGCUGAUUGAGCGGCCGAUAUCAGAUUAGAUAGUUGGUGGGGUAAAGGCUCACCAAGGCGACGAUCGGUAGCGGUUCGGAGAGGAUGAUCCGCCACACUGGAACUGAGACACGGUCCAGCCUCCUACGGGAGGCAGCAGUGGGGAAUUUUGGACAAUGGGGGCAACCCUGAUCCAGCCAUGCCGCGUGAGUGAAGAAGGCCUUCGGGUUGUAAAGCUCUUUCGGCCGGGAAAAAAUCGCAUGGGUUAAUACCCUGUGUGGAUGAUGGUACCGGAAUAAGAAGCACCGGCUAACUACGUGCCAGCAGCCGCCGUAA
rnacentral:rRNA from 1 species